GGAAGGGUGCCGGAGCGGCCUAACGGAAUAGCCUGGAGCGCUAUGCUCCCUAACGGGGGCUCGUGGGUUCGAAUCCCACCCCUUCCGCCA
rnacentral:tRNA from 1 species